CGAAAUACUGAAUACUGAAUAUUUAUUUGAGCGGCCCAGAUCCGCUUUCGCAGAGAGCAUCGGUGAAUGUGGAGCUGAGAGAAUGUAUUCACUGACAAAAGGAAAAAAGGUUUAGAAAUCUCUUAAGUGUCCUAUGUUUGCCAACAUUUACCGACGGCUCGCUCUGACAUCUGAAACAAUAGUGAUCAUUCUAGAGAUUAGUUAGAUGGAAUUAAACAAUUCCGGCUCUUGUUAAAUAGGCAUAUACUUAAUUUGCAAAAUGCCGUGCAAGAACCCGUGGGGCACCUGGAGAAAACAGUGUCUCGAGACGGCUCAGGUGCUCCGGGUCCACGCAGGACGCGGGACGGGGAGGGGCCUGGCCUGGCCUGGCCUCCGGGGCUGAGCCCGCUCCUGCUGCUGCGGGUGGGGGGUGUUCACGCCCCUUGGCCUCUGGGAGGGGCCUGAGGCAGGACAUUAGGGCCAGCGGAGCAGGCCCUUCCCCGAGCCACGGGGGAAACCCCUGCCCCAGGUGUCUGACUUUCAAACUGCAUCAGGCCACUGGAGGAUUGUUUCGUGGCUAUGAGAAAAUUAAUUAUGCAGGCCGGGCGUGGUGGCUCAAGCCUGUAAUCCAAGUACUUUGGAGGCCAAGGAGGGCGGAUUACCUGAGGUCGGGAGUUUAAGACCAGCCGGACCAACAUGGUGAAACCCCCGUCUUUUAAAAAAAAAAAAAAAAAGAAAGAAAAUUAAUUAUGCUUGCACAAAACUUUAGCCAAUACCUCAGAGGGAAACGUAAAAGGGGAAAGCCGCACCCUUACUCCACCCACUCCAAGGCGGCAGACACCCCUCCGUGGCCGGGACUCAGCACGAUCAAGUCCUCGUUCUCCUACGCCGGCGGGACCCAGCGCCCCGCUCCAGGGGGCGGGGAGAGCUGGGUCACGUCCCGGCCCCGCCCACCCGCGCGGCCCCGCCCCCGAGCGUGCGCGCCCCACGCGGAGACCCCGCCCCCGAGCGCGCGCUCGUGCGCCGCUGCCGCCAUUUUGGAGCGAUCCGAGUGCCGCCCGCGGCCCCGAGUCGGUCUCGAGCCGCCGGCCGGCCGCGCCGGUGUCCGUAGGCGCUGCGCCCCGGGCCGGGCCCAUGUGUGUGCGGCCCGCCCGAGGCCGCCUGGGCUUUGCCUCCACCAGCGCCCUGGCCUCCGUUCGGGCCUCCACACGGGCCUCCGAGGAGCUGCCGCGACGCCCGGCCCGCAGGGCAGGUAAAGAGUUUAUACAUCUUCGACUGAAUGAAAAAAAUUUUUCUUAAAGCUGCAUAUACUCCAAGAAAAAAUCCACAAAUGUUUUUCUGUUUUGCCUGAAUACAUGAUCUAAACAAGAGAUUUCCGCAGAAGGUAAGAUAAGUUUCUUUUUCAGUUUGAUUCUGUUUUAUUGUGUAAUUUAUACAAAAGUACUGUAUAGGUGGAAGUUCAAAGUUGGGUGACAGCAAAAAAUGUAGUUUAGAAGAUGUGCUUAUGGUCUGUUGUCUUUUGGUGAUUUUUGAUCCUCCUGUGUCUGGUUAUGAGAUUCUCUGUGUGUCUUUGAGCAAGUUACUUGGUGUCUCCAAGCCAAAGUUUAAUUCUUACAAAAUGUAGACAGUCUUGCACAUAUGUGAUGGGGUAUGUGUUCUCCCUCACUUGCAGGGAACAUGUGAGAUGCAGCCUGUACACUGUCACAGUUGCCAUUCAGGGCACACAGUUAUGUAGAAAAUGAAAAAGGGAGGGAAGGACCUCUGCUUCCAGCAAUAGUAGAUGCUCUUGCGAGGCUCUCCCAUUGCAGUUCAGUUAGAUGCUGAAUCAAUAUGAUAAAUAGAAUUUCUUUACUUUUUAUUUUUUCUGGAGUCAAGGUCUCACUUUGUCAUCCAGGCUGGAGUCUAGUGGUGUGAUCAUAGCUCACCAUAACCAUGUGUACCUAGGCCGAAAGGAUCCUCCUACUUCAGUCUCCUGAGUAGCUGGGACUCCAGGCAUGCGCCACCAUGGCUAAUUAAAAAAAAAUUUUUUUUAAGGUGGGGUUUCAUUGUGUUACCAAGACUGAUCUUGAACUCCUAGGCUCGAGUGAUCCUCCCACCUUGGCCUCCCAAAGUGACGAGAUUAUAGGCAUGAGUUAACCAUGCUUGGCCAGAUGUAAUUUUUUUUUUUUUUUGAGACACAGUCUCGCUCUGUGGCCCAGGCUGGAGUGCAGUGGCACGAUCUCGGCUUACCACAACCUCCGCCUCCUGGGUUGAAGUGAUUCUCCUGCUUCAGCUUCCUGAGUAGCUGGGAGGAGUUCAAGAUCAUCCUGGCCAACAUGGCGAAAUCCCAUCUCUACUAAAAAUACAAAAAAAAAAUUAGCCAGGUGUGGUGGUGCGUGCCUGUAAUCCCAGCUACUCGGGAAGCUGAGGCAGGAGAAUCACUUGAACCCCGGAGGCGGAGGAACAAAAGGCACCACCACCAAAACUGAGUAUAUGGCUUAAACAGAUGAAACGCAGGUGAAGAUGGAGUUAGAGAAGUGAAAUGUAGUGGAAGGCAUUGUCCAAAGUGCAGCCCCAGGAGAUCAGUGAUGGUUGGCGGUAGUAACCGUAAUAAUAAUAAUUCAGUGUGUAUGCGUUUAAUAAAAAAUACAUAGAGUGAAGUGAAAAUCA
rnacentral:lncRNA from 13 species